GAUGAACGCUGGCGGCGUGCCUAAUACAUGCAAGUCGAGCGAACAGACGAGGAGCUUGCUCCUCUGAAGUUAGCGGCGGACGUGGGAGUAACACGUGGAUAACCUCCCUAUAAGACUGGGAUAACUUCGGGAAACCGGAGCUAAUACCGGAUAAUAUAUUGAACCGCAUGGUUCAAUAGUGAAAGACGGUUUUGCUGUCACUUAUAGAUGGAUCCGCGCCGCAUUAGCUAGUUGGUAAGGUAACGGCGUACCAAGGCAACGAUGCGUAGCCGACCUGAGAGGGUGAUCGGCCACACUGGAACUGAGGCACGGUCCAGACUCCUACGGGAGGCAGAAGUACGGAAUCUUCAGCAAAGGGCGAAAGCCGGAAGGAGCAACGCCGCGUGAGUGAUGAAGGUCGUCGGAUCGUAAAACUCUGUUAUUAGGGGAGAACAAAUGUGUAAGUAACUAUGCACGACUUGACGGUACCUAAUCAGAAAGCCACGGCUAACUACGUG
rnacentral:rRNA from 1 species